AUGCUGGAGUUUGGAUCGAGCUGCAGAGGGCACCGAGCCUCCAAACUGCCUGCUGACACCUGCAGCUGGAUCUCCCUCAUCAAGGGAGGUUCCUUCACCAGCCUGAAGCCACUUUCCCCAAAUAUCUUUUCUCCUCUGGAGCCGAGCUGUGUGUUUGCUGACUCCUGGUGCUUCUGUCCUCGUAGCCUUUUUGGUGCUAGUCCCUUGGAUCCGUCACAGCUUGACAGAGAGCAGAGUCCUGCUCGUGUCAGAGAACGGGAGCCACAGGCUGCUCCCUCCCCAGCAAAGCACGAGGCAGCUCUUGGAGCCACGUCCUCAUGUGCCAGAGAUCCCAAAGUAACCAGAGGCUCUGCAACGAGCUGUGGUCUGGCUGUUUGCCACGGAAAGAACACGCUCUUCACAAUGUUCCAGGCAGCGUGCGGAGCCAGCUGCUCCAGCAGGAGACAGAUACCUGCGUUGACAUGGCUUUGCUUGUUUUCCCUUGCUCUCAGGGCAUCUCUUCCAGCUGCGCUCGAACAAUUGCAGGGGGUUGCUCCUGGCAGCACGCACCCGAGCGCUUUGCCUCUGCACGCACGGGGAUUAAGGCAAGCGACUGUCUCCCUUCCUCCAGGGGAAUUCAGAGCCUCCUGGAAGAUAAGGAACAUGAAAGCAGGAACAGAAACCCAGCUGAGUAUACACACACUCCCUGCUGCUUCCCCGGUGAGGAGCGGGGAUAAACACACCCGUGCGGGAGCACUGCUGGCAUGGCCGCUCGCCCCAGGGCCUCCCCUCGCUGCCACAAAUGGCUCUGAAAGACUUUUCAAGGGCAGCCGCUGCCUGCAGUUCUGCCCUGUCCUGCCAGCCUCACCCCCGCCAGGCAGGCAGGCGGCUGGAACAACCACGGCUCCGGCUCUCACUGCUUUGGCCUCCUCUGGCGGCUGCAUCGGUCAGAAGUUGCCCCGUUUUCAGGCCCAGCUCGUUUAUGGGAUGGGAGCCUGCCUCGAGAUGUUCCCCUCCACCCCAGCCGACACAUCUGCCAAGGAGGGGGGGUUGCUGGCUGUUUCUCCACGCAGCAGGCAUAUCGGGACGGUUCACAUUGAACCGAAGACAAAACCGAAGCCCCCAGAAAGUGACCGUGGUGUGUGA
rnacentral:lncRNA from 1 species